rnacentral:lncRNA from 1 species
CUUCAUUACUUGUUGACAACAUUCAGAGAAGGAAGGGGUGACGAACAAGGCACCACCCAAUCCACUCACGCCAAACCACCACCAAUUUCCCUCCCCUCAUAAAUAAAAAUCGCAUAGCACAAGGAGACCUUCGGAGUGCCGAAACGUGGCGACGUUCCCAAAUGCACCGACCUCAACCAGGGAAGCAAGUUUCAGCUGUGCCAAGCGGAGGAAUUUGGGAAUUAGCUUGAAUCUCCCUUUCUCUCUCGCCACUAGCAGCUAACAAUCGGAUCCCCUCCUUACUUGCAAAAAGGGGGAGCUUCGUCACCGAUGUACACUCCAACAAGUUCAGUGGAAGAGUAAAUUGCUGGAGCAGUGAUCAGACAGCAGCUCUGACUGUGUCUCUAAGCGCAGCAGCAGAGUGCCAGUCACGCUCUUUCUUCCUCCAUUC